rnacentral:piRNA from 1 species
UAAAUGCCUCUGUACUGUUAGGUGACAUU